CUAAGAGAGUGUUACCCAGGUCACCUCUGUGCAAGCAUCAUGGAUGCAGUUUACUCUUCAGGCAACAAAGGUGAAGCAGCAGUUUGCUGUGGGAGGUUCCUCCACAUUUAGUCUCCUAGAACUGGAAUAUCCUUGUUUUAAAAGAGCAAUCUUGAACUUUUCCUAGGACUGAUUUUAAGAGGUUUCAGUAUUUUGCAUUUGCAGCUUAUGCGUGACUGGAAAAAAUUGUUUGUAUUUUUUUGUUAUUUCUUUUCCUAAUAUUUUGUAACUCAUUUUUACCUGUUCCAGCUGGAGAAUAGUGUAUGUCCUGUUACUAUCCAUACCUCACACUUUGUAGUACCAUAGUCUUAGAACAUCGCAAAAUAAAUUAAAUGCACCAAGAGGUAACUUUCAGGAUUUCUUGUCAUUUGUUGUAAGCUGCACAACUUCACUGUUCUUCUUAAGAACUGCGUUACAUUAUUGGAGAUGGGAACUUCCUGGAGACUGUAUAGAGAGAGAUGAAACGAGGAGCUUGUCCUUGUUUUUGUUGUUAUGUUAAAUAGUCACUUCUACCAAUGUAAAGUUAGUACAAACAUUGCUGAUUCAGAAAAGUGUAAAAGAUAAUCAACUUUAACCAGCAUUUCAAGUUCAUUGUUACAUCUGUUACUCUCUCUUCCUCUUUUUUCCCGUCUCCUUGAUCCCCUGAGGAUGUUUCUUGGAAUGGUGGGAGAGAGGAUUGGAGAAAGCAGAGUCAUCUUCCAGACAUGGUAACCAGGUCAUGAGGAGGUCUGCAGUUACAGUAUCAUCCAAAGCACUUCCUCCAUGUGGCCAUGUGGAUUAGCUGGGGAAGUUGGCUUUCCAAUACAGUGAUGACUCACCUCAGAAGAAGAAGAAGAAUUUGCUUUUCUAAGUAGGCUUAGAAAACUGGAUUUGGCAAUAAGUCAUCCUUCAUUUACUGCAGGAGUCAGAAUGAACUGAAAGUUUAUGCAGAAGAUAGCCCUGUGGAUGUUCUUCAUGGUUUUGCCCUGGAUCCAGGUUCCUUAUGUACACAGGUUUUCUCCUUUCUUUCAGAUGUGCAAUUUAGAUUAAAUAUUUUGUCCGAACUCGC